UCCCCCCUCCUCCUCAUUUUCGUUUCAAACCUAGAUGUUGGUUUCCUAUAGUAUAACCACUGCGUACUUCGAUUGCUCGCAUGCACCUUGAUUUCCAUUAAGCAAUAUUUUGCAUCUGCCACUGGGCAGUGUGAUGCUCAAACUUUUGAGUGACGCUUGUGGACUUUGGAUUGCUUACAGGUUGGUGGAAAUUCAUUUUUUUUUUGAGUUAGCCGAAUAUUAGGUGUUCGUUGAAAUAAAACAUAUGUAUGUGUGACCCUUAGGUGUUCGUUGAAAGUCCCCAUACGAGUUGAUGUUUCAGAUUUUAAGUAGUGUGUGUUCUUCAAUGGACCAAUUCAUGGCUUUCAUCUUUAAUGCGUGUGUCUUCAUGUUUUGUAGGCAGUCACCACACAUAACUAGCCAAGCCCCUGAUGGCCCGAUCAUGCUCGCGGUUGGCUAUUUUAAAAUGUUUCUCUUUUAUCUGUUGUGUGCUCAUUGAACUAUGGUGAUUAUGCUUGUCAGUUCGUUAUCAAGGUGAGUUGAGGUAGAUAGCACGGGCUGAUAUUGAAAAAGAAAAUGUCAUUGUGAUGGUAAGCAAAAUAUUAUGUUUUCAUUAGUGAAGGACUAUAGAGAGUAAGAGGUCUUGAUGAGAUGCUUACAUGACGUGAAUAAUUAAUUUUAGGUGUAUCAUGGGCCCUGCUUCAUUGUUCAGUUAUGUCGCUUGUAUUCGUGGAUCAAUUGCUGGACAUAUAAAGUUCAGUUUGCACAGAUAGCAAAAGUUGCAAAACUAGGUGUGCUGAAUUUUGUUCAAAGUGCAACCUUCUAUUACCGAAAAAGGGUUUUCCCCCGCUUUGUAUACAAAGCAGCCAGCCGAACCAUACAGGGAUAGGUGCUGGGGCGGAAGCAGCACAGUCACGCCCAAAAGAAACGACAAAGAAAGAGCAAAAAAACCAAUGCCGACAACGGCGGAUCAACAAAAAACGAAGAAGCCUCGUGAUCGCUGCGCCCACCGAGAUCUUCCACUAGGCUCCAAGACUCCGAAGCGCCGGCACCUAUCAACACCUCGAGGAAGGAUCGCGACGAUGACGACGCUGUUGCCAAUGGUUUCCCCCGGUACACGACGAGGCGAGAGGAUGGGUAAGUGCAACCUUCUAUUUGAUGAAGCAAAUAAGGUUUACCUGUAUACCAACUGUAAAAGAGUUACGACACAAGGUCCAAAUCACUUUUUUUGUACUACACCAACAAUAAAAGAGUUACAACACAAGGUCAAGAUCACCUUUUUUGUACUACACUGGGAUUGAUCCUGUAUGUUGUUGUGGCAACCCUGUUUUACUUUGGUCUAUUUUCUGGUGUAUUUCUGCUUACUGAAAAUAGAUGGAAAUUGUAGCAUAUGAUUGCAUUGCCUGAAUUGCCCUUGACAGGUUGCAGUGUGUGUACGGCAUCUUAUAUAUACUAUGGGUGGCUAAUUUAGGUGGUUACGACCACUAUCUUGCCUUCUUACUCUCUUGGGAGGGAGGGGUUGAAGAAGAAGUAUGCCCCGUUGACAAUCGAUGAUAAAUCAUCAGAAUAUGUGUAGGAGAAUUGGACGAUUUUAAUACUCCCUCCGUUCCUAAAUAUAAGUCGAUAUUUUGAUAAGGCUCCUACAUUGCCGACGAGUGCUAGCGGAAGAGGAACCGACUACACCUCUAAGGGUGUGCGCACGAGGAUCAUUGAGGAGACGGGAACCAUGUCAUCUCCCCUAGCUUGCGAGCCCUUCAAGCAUGAUGCCAACCCAGAAACAUGGUUUCGCUUCCAUGUGGAAGGACAUGAUAGGCAGGGUAGAUGGAGGCGAGAUUAAGGAGCUCUAAGGGUGUGCGCACGGGGAUCACUGAGGAGACGGGAACCAUGUCAUCUCCCCUAGCUUGCGAUCCCUUCAAGCAUGACGCCAACCCAGUCAGUACAUCAACAUAUACAGUCAUUUAUAUCUAUAUUUGUAUUCAGUUAUGUAAGUUGCAUCUUUAUCUACGCCAUACAUUUUUUGUUGAUGCACUGUUAUGCUAUAUUUUUAAAUUCAAAACCGACCACAAGAUCCUUGAUUUGUGUAAUUCAUCUGAGGUUUGUUUGUUCUUCAGAUCAUAGAUGAGGAAUCUUGUCAAAGAGUCUGAUUUGC